CAGAGGGGGCAAGCGUUGUUCGGAAUUACUGGGCGUAAAGGGCGCGUAGGCGGCCUUCUAAGUCGAACGUGAAAUCCCUGGGCUCAACCCAGGAACUGCGUCCGAUACUGGAAGGCUUGAAUCCGGGAGAGGGAUGCGGAAUUCCAGGUGUAGCGGUGAAAUGCGUAGAUAUCUGGAGGAACACCGGUGGCGAAGGCGGCAUCCUGGACCGGUAUUGACGUUGAGGCGCGAAAGCCAGGGGAGCAAACGGGAUUAGAUACCCCGGUAGUCCUGGCCCUAAACGAUGAAUGCUUGGUGUGGCGGGUAUCGAUCCCUGCCGUGCCGAAGCUAACGCAUUAAGCAUUCCGCCUGGGGAGGUACGGUCGCAAGGCUG
rnacentral:rRNA from 1 species